UACGUAGGGUGCAAGCGUUGUCCGGAUUUAUUGGGCGUAAAGAGCUCGUAGGUGGUUUGGUAAGUCGGAUGUGAAAUCUCCAGGCUCAACCUGGAGGGGUCAUUCGAUACUGCCAUGACUAGAGGUCGGUAGGGGAGUGUGGAAUUCCUGGUGGAGCGGUGAAAUGCGCAGAUAUCAGGAGGAACACCCCGUAGCGAAGGCGGCACUCUGGGCCGAUUCUGACACUGAGGAGCGAAAGCGUGGGGAGCGAACAGG
rnacentral:rRNA from 1 species